CCCAAAGAUGAUGAUGAUCUGAUUGAUUGCCUCCUUGCCUGGUUUGCAUCAGUAAAGAACAUCAGGUAAAAUUCCAGAUAUAUUUA
rnacentral:snoRNA from 1 species